rnacentral:antisense_RNA from 1 species
CGUCAUGGCGGCCAUGUGCAGGCCGCCCUUCGGGUGUGCCGGUUCGUGCUACCGGUUGACCAACCUGCACACAGUCCGCCACCUAU